AGAUACCAGCUGGCUGCAACUGUUUAUUAAAAACACAGCACUGUGCAAACACGAAAGUGGACGUAUACGGUGUGACGCCUGCCCGGUGCCGGAAGGUUAAUUGAUGGGGUUAUCCCUCGGGAGAAGCUCUUGAUCGAAGCCCCGGUAAACGGCGGCCGUAACUAUAACGGUCCUAAGGUAGCGAAAUUCCUUGUCGGGUAAGUUCCGACCUGCACGAAUGGCGUAAUGAUGGCCAGGCUGUCUCCACCCGAGACUCAGUGAAAUUGAACUCGCUGUGAAGAUGCAGUGUACCCGCGGCAAGACGGAAAGACCCCGUGAACCUUUACUAUAGCUUGACACUGAACACUGGUCCUUGAUGUGUAGGAUAGGUGGGAGGCUUUGAAGUGUGGACGCCAGUCUGCAUGGAGCCGCCCUUGAAAUACCACCCUUUAAUGGCUGGUGUUCUAACGUGGGCCCGUAAUCCGGGUUGCGGACAGUGUCUGGUGGGUAGUUUGACUGGGGCGGUCUCCUCCUAAAGAGUAACGGAGGAGCACGAAGGUCAGCUAAUCCUGGUCGGACAUCAGGAGGUUAGUGCAAUGGCAUAAGCUGGCUUGACUGCGAGCGUGACGGCGCGAGCAGGUGCGAAAGCAGGUCAUAGUGAUCCGGUGGUUCUGAAUGGAAGGGCCAUCGCUCAACGGAUAAAAGGUACUCCGGGGAUAACAGGCUGAUACCGCCCAAGAGUUCAUAUCGACGGCGGUGUUUGGCACCUCGAUGUCGGCUCAUCACAUCCUGGGGCUGAAGUAGGUCCCAAGGGUAUGGCUGUUCGCCAUUUAAAGUGGUACGCGAGCUGGGUUUAGAACGUCGUGAGACAGUUCGGUCCCUAUCUGCCGUGGGCGCUGGAGAACUGAGGGGGGCUGCUCCUAGUACGAGAGGACCGGAGUGGACGCAUCACUGGUGUUCGGGUUGUCAUGCCAAUGGCACUGCCCGGUAGCUAAAUGCGGAAGAGAUAAGUGCUGAAAGCAUCUAAGCACGAAACUUGCC
rnacentral:rRNA from 1 species